GAUGAACGCUAGCUACGGGCUUAACACAUGCAAGUCGAGGGGCAUCAGGAAGAAAGCUUGCUUUCUUUGCUGGCGACCGGCGCACGGGUGAGUAACACGUAUCCAACCUGCCCUUUACUCGGGGAUAGCCUUUCGAAAGAAAGAUUAAUACCCGAUAGCAUAAUGAUUCCGCAUGGUUUCAUUAUUAAAGGAUUCCGGUAAAGGAUGGGGAUGCGUUCCAUUAGGUUGUUGGUGAGGUAACGGCCCACCAAGCCUUCGAUGGAUAGGGGUUCUGAGAGGAAGGUCCCUCACAUUGGAACUGAGACACGGUCCAAACUCCUACGGGAGGCAGCAGUGAGGAAUAUUGGUCAAUGGGCGCUAGCCUGAACCAGCCAAGUAGCGUGAAGGAUGAAGGCUCUAUGGGUCGUAAACUUCUUUUAUAUAAGAAUAAAGUGCAGUAUGUAUACUGUUUUGUAUGUAUUAUAUGAAUAAGGAUCGGCUAACUCCGUGCCAGCAGCCGCGGUAAUACGGAGGAUCCGAGCGUUAUCCGGAUUUAUUGGGUUUAAAGGGAGCGUAGGUGGACUGGUAAGUCAGUUGUGAAAGUUUGCGGCUCAACCGUAAAAUUGCAGUUGAUACUGUCAGUCUUGAGUACAGUAGAGGUGGGCGGAAUUCGUGGUGUAGCGGUGAAAUGCUUAGAUAUCACGAAGAACUCCGAUUGCGAAGGCAGCUCACUGGACUGCAACUGACACUGAUGCUCGAAAGUGUGGGUAUCAAACAGGAUUAGAUACCCUGGUAGUCCACACAGUAAACGAUGAAUACUCGCUGUUUGCGAUAUACAGUAAGCGGCCAAGCGAAAGCAUUAAGUAUUCCACCUGGGGAGUACGCCGGCAACGGUGAAACUCAAAGGAAUUGACGGGGGCCCGCACAAGCGGAGGAACAUGUGGUUUAAUUCGAUGAUACGCGAGGAACCUUACCCGGGCUUAAAUUGCAGUGGAAUGAUGUGGAAACAUGUCAGUGAGCAAUCACCGCUGUGAAGGUGCUGCAUGGUUGUCGUCAGCUCGUGCCGUGAGGUGUCGGCUUAAGUGCCAUAACGAGCGCAACCCUUAUCUUCAGUUACUAACAGGUCAUGCUGAGGACUCUGGAGAGACUGCCGUCGUAAGAUGUGAGGAAGGUGGGGAUGACGUCAAAUCAGCACGGCCCUUACGUCCGGGGCUACACACGUGUUACAAUGGGGGGUACAGAAGGCAGCUAGCGGGUGACCGUAUGCUAAUCCCAAAAUCCUCCCUCAGUUCGGAUCGAAGUCUGCAACCCGACUUCGUGAAGCUGGAUUCGCUAGUAAUCGCGCAUCAGCCACGGCGCGGUGAAUACGUUCCCGGGCCU
rnacentral:rRNA from 1 species